UUGUCCUGAAGGGAAACCCAUAGAGAUUUGAAUUAAAAAGUGUCAAGUGCUAGUUUGGAGCAAUGGAUUUAACCCAAGAAUUCCCAGUAGAAGCUCAGAAAUUUUAUAAACCCUCUGCUCUGUAUCUUAAUUAAAUAUCCAUCCUUCCAUCUAUGCUGUUCAAGGAAUUUAAGGCUUUUAAUGGCUUCUAAAACUGUGGAAAACCCUGUGUGUGGUACAGUAGAAGUAAGCAAUACUGUUAAAUUUAUCACGUAAUCAUUUAAAUACAUCCAAAAUUCACUUAUAUUGCACCUAAUCUAUUAGUAUGUCAUGAGCUACAGUAUAUUUUCUAGGUAUACUUUGGUAGAAAAUCCCUUUUUAAAGUUGCCCAUAAUAUCCUGCAGGAAUCCUAAGGAAAACACGUCCCAGCUUAGAGAUCACCUUGGGGUGGAUAUGGAGACUUCAGAGAAUGAGACCUGGCUCCAUAAGCCCUGUGCUACAGGAGUUUUCCCAGGAAAAAUGGAGCUACCACCCCGGGUACCAACCAGAGCUAUGUUUUCUGCAAACAAAGGUAGUUGUUUUUCAAACAUAAUGCAAAUUUUCCCCAUGUUUUUCUCUCCUUUAUGAUCUUGACUCCUGUUCAGCGUCAUCUGAGAACAAGGAUGGCUAAUGUCACAGAAGUAAUACUGAUAAUAGCAAUAAACCAUCCUCACCUUGUUAAUCCAUAUCAGUCCGGGUAUCUUAUUGGAAUUAAUCUGCAUUUCCAAC